AACGAACGUUAGCGGCACGCCUAACACAUGCAAGUCGCACGAGAAAGGGCUUCGGCCCCGUAAAGUGGCGCACGGGUGAGUAACACGUGGGUAAUCUACCUUCGGAUGGGGGAUAACACUUCGAAAGGGGUGCUAAUACCGCAUAAGCUCACGACCUCUUCGGGGGUUGGGAGAAAAGCAGGCCUCUCCUUGGAAGCUUGUGUCUGAAGAUGAGCCCGCGGCCCAUCAGUUAGUUGGCAGGGUAAUGGCCCACCAAGACGAAGACGGGUAGCUGGUCUGAGAGGAUGAUCAGCCACACUGGAACUGAGACACGGUCCAGACUCCUACGGGAGGCAGCAGUGGGGAAUCUUGCGCAAUGGGCGAAAGCCUGACGCAGCGAUGCCGCGUGAGUGAUGAAGGCCUUCGGGUUGUAAAGCUCUGUGGGGAGAGAAGAAUAAGUCGUGGCGAAUAUCCACGGUGAUGACGGUAUCUCCUUAGCAAGCACCGGCUAACUCUGUGCCAGCCGCCGCUGUAACAC
rnacentral:rRNA from 1 species